AGCUAUAUGUUUUUAUAUUUAGUGAUUUCUGCCCAGUGAAUUUUUAACGGCCGCAGUACUUUGACUGUGCUAAGGUAGCAUAAUCAAUUGACUUUUAAUUGAAGUCUGGAAUGAAAGGAAAUAUGGGAAUAAGCUGUUUUUUAAUAACUUUUAUGAAGUUAUUUAUAAGGUGAAAAUACCUUAGGAUAAAUAAAAGACGAGAAGACCCUUAGAGUUUUUUUGUUGGGGUGACAAAUAAGCAAACCUUAUUUUAAGAAAGUAAAAACUACCUAAGGGAUAACAGCAUAAUUUUUUAAAAAGAUUGUGACCUCGAUGUUGGACUAGGAAUAUUAUAACUAGAAGUUAAAAUUAUAAGUUCUGUUCGAACUUUUUCUCCU
rnacentral:rRNA from 1 species